UAGGGAAUAUUGGACAAUGGGGGGAACCCUGAUCCAGCCAUGCCGCGUGGAGGAAGACUGCCCUCUGGGUUGUAAACUCCUUUUAUAUGGGAAGAACCGUCCUCAUUGAUGAGUGACCUGACGGUACCAUAGGAAUAAGCACCGGCUAACUACGUGCCAGCAGCCGCGGUAAUACGUAGGGGGCAAGCGUUGUCCGGAUUUACUGGGUGUAAAGGGCGCGCAGGCGGGAUAAAAAGUCAGUGGUGAAAUCCUACAGCUUAACUGUAGAACUGCCUUUGAUACUUUUAAUCUUGAGUUCGGGAGAGAGAGACGGAAUUCCAGGUGUAGUGGUGAAAUACGUAGAUAUCUGGAAGAACACCAGUUGCGAAGGCGGUCUCUUGGUCCGACACUGACGCUGAGGCGCGAAAGCGUGGGGAGCAAACA
rnacentral:rRNA from 1 species